AUUUAUCAAAUGUUCCUCAACUUAAAUUAGGACAUCGAGUUUUUAUAUUAUAAAUAGUAAAUGUGAAAGUGUGUAAUUCACCAUAAUCAAAAAAAAAUCGGAGGUGGGGGUGGAGGGAAAGGGGGAGAAUUCAGGACUAGUCUUUUAGGUCAAAAAGAAGAAGCUUUGUAACCGUUGGUUUCCGUAGUGUAGUGGUUAUCACGUUCGCCUAACACGCGAAAGGUCCGCGGUUCGAAACCGGGCGGAAACAGGUAGGCUUAUGAUAUUCUUGGUUGCUGCUUAGUUUCUAUUCCUUCUUACGCACGAACCAGUUUGCGGUUCUGGACUUUAAAAAUACGCAGUUCUGAGCUCAAUUUGUGGUCCAGAAGUCUAAGAUGAAAGAUUUCUCACGCCACUGACACAGAAGCCCGUGUCACCCCACCUCCUCUCGCCCCAGUAAGUUUCCCAUCGCUUUUCCUCCUCUUCUGGGCUUCAGAACCCUAGGAGGUGUCAAUCCCAGGAGACGCCCACGGCCCAGGACUCGGCCUACGCAGCUCAGGUGAGACUGGCUUCCUUGGAAUUCCAUCUUAGAUUUCUGGACCACAAAUUGAACUCAGAAUUGUGUAUUUUUAAAGUCCAGAACCGCAAACGGGUUUGUGCGUAAGAGGGAAUAGAAACCUAGCAGCAACGAAAAAUAAUAUAAGCCUUUCGCGUGUUAGACAAACGUGACAACCACUACACUACGGAAACCUCGUGUUACUGCGCUUUUACCUUACUAAGUCUGCGGGUUUCCCGCAAUUCGAAAUUCCGCAGCGGCCGCUACCGAGUGUCAGUUAACGGAUAGCAGACCUCUCGGGCAAUUAUUAGUAGUAGUACUAUCGGUACUGUUAGUGCCACACAAUAUUUCUAAAACCCAUCAAGCGUGGACGAGAAGGAAGAGCUGUGAGGAGAGAAGGGUAAAGGAAUAAAUAAAAAUAUAUUCCUGCCGUCAACGGCCUGGAUAAUCUGUAUUGGACUAGGAGACUUCAAUUUUCGUGACCGCCUUUCCCCUCCACGUUUCCACCAGCCGAGAAGAUCCUCUGGGACUUGAUUCUCAGCGGGGCUUGAUCUCAGACAUUUCAAUUCCAGUGCGUUCCUCCCAGUGGGAAUUCGGGGCGCGACUUCGUGCGCACUGGGCCCACUCCCGGCCUUGCUCGCUGCCAGGAGCCUUCUGUACAAACGCGACCUUCUCCCAGGACUCAGCAAUGAGCGUUCAGCUCGGUUCGAAAUGAGCUCCCAGCAGGCGACCAUCCUGAGUGAAGGAAGGGAACCCGACCAUUUCUGGAAUCAGCGUAGUGUUCACGCCGUUUGCGAGAUUUCUCGGAAAUAAGAAAGAAAAAGAGGAAAGGGUUAAAAAGUUUAGCGACUUUGUGUGUUUCGUGGCCUAUUUUGGUAAAAAUCGCGAACUUUAAGACAGGUUUUCUUCUGGGAUAGACAUACACUCGGAGGGCGUUUCUACUUUCCUAACCUACAUUCUGAGAGAUUAUUUCCUCAUUUUGUCUCCUAGUGUUAAACUCAGUUAACACCCUGCCUGCAAUAAGUGACUCCCCGCAAGUGGCAAAGACUGGGCUCUCCUGAUGGUCGAUCGCCAACCCCUACCCCCAGUGCACUAAGAGAACUCUCACGAUCAUGCUGAUACAUGAAUUCUUUCAAACUUAUUGAAAGAAAUUUAAAUGACUUCCUUAGAGGUUAACUCACACCAGAUCUCAGAUUCUGGUUGUUUUAUUUUUUGAGUCGUAAUUUCACUCUUGUUGCCCAUGCUGGACUGCAAUGGCACGUUCUUGGCUUAUUGCAAGCUCCGCCUCUCGGUCCGCCUCUCGGUUUCAAGCGAUUCUCUCUGCCUUAGCCUCCCAAGUAGCUGGGAUUACAGGAAUGUGCCACCACGCCCGACUAAUUUUUAGUAGAGACGGGGCUUCACCGUGUUAGGGUGGUCUCGAAAUCCUGACCUCAGGUGAUCCACCCGCCUCAGCCUCCGAAAGUGCUGGUAUUAAAGGCGCGAGCUACCGCGCCCAGCCCUCAGACCCUGGUUAAUUUGACAAGGUAAAGGAAAGAGGAGGCAGAAACUAACAUUUUAAGAAUCUGGGCCGGGCGCGGUGACUUAAGCCUGUAAUCCCAGCACUUUGGGAGACCGAGGUGGGCAGAUCACCUGUCAGAAGUUCGAACAUGGCGAAACCCUGUCUCUACUAAAAAUACAAAAAUUAGCCUGGCGCGGUUGCUCACGCCUGUAGUCUUAGCACUUUGGGAGGCCGAGGCAGGCUGAUCACCUGAGGUCAGAAGUUUGAGACCAGCCUGGCCUGCAGGGCAAAACCCCAUCUCUACUAAAAAUACAAACAAUAUCUCGGCGUGGUGGCACACGCCUGCAAUCCCAGCUACUUGGGAGGCUGAGGCAGGAGAACCGCUUGAACCCGGGAGGAGGAGUUCGCAGUGAGCCGAGAUCACGCCAUUGCACUCCAGCCUAGGCAACAAGAGCAAAACUCUGUCUCAAAAAAAACCCCUGAUAUAUAUACUACACAUUUUAGAGGUGUUAUCUUCUAUAACACUCCUUAUAUAUAACUUCCUGAAAUGCUGUGCGUGUCUAACUUUUAAAAUGCUUCUUCAUCUGCAAGUCAUGGUUUGAUGUCUCCUGCAGUCUAUGCCUCAUACUCCAUGAACUCCACGCAAUCAGUCUCUUUUUCAUGACUGGACUUUUCACCUGAGGUUCCCUCUAGCUGAAAAGCUUUGCGCUUGGCUUUGCCUAGUUAGUUAUCUUUACCUCGUGACUGUAUCUCAGGGAAACUAUUUUUUCUUUAGGAAAGACUUCCUUAAACUACAUCAGUGAAAGUCCUGUAUUCCUCGUAAUACCAUGAACUUUGUUCCCUUGCCACCUUUACAUUUAUGAGCAUAAUAACUAGAUUGAUGUCUGUCUCCCUAGAAUAUAAGCUGCAUUUGGACAGGAACAGUGUCUGUUCUUGCUCAUCAAUGAAUCCAUACUGCCUUGCGCUCAAUGAAUACCUUUGAAUAUAAGACUGAACCCUUACCCUGAUUCUCUGAGUAAACUAUUAUUUUCCUAAUUUUAAGUUGAAGCACCGAGGCUUGCAGCGAUCAUCUGUCUUGCCUAAGUGUGGAGCUAGUAUGUGAGUUAUGGCUCACACACAGAUAUUCCUGGCUUUACAGUCUUGCUCAUUCCUUAAUAUACUAUUGGAUGUGGGUAUAUUUUUAACAAAUCUCCAAAGUUCUGAUCUUUGUAAUUCCCUAUAAACUAAUAAUGAAAAAGAAAUCACUAGAACAAUAGUAAUAGCUACAAUUUAUUACCAGCCAUUAAAUCAAGUAUUUAAUGAUUUUUCAUAUGUAAACGAACAAAGCAAGCCUAAGGUGUAGGUGCAAUUGUUGCUUACAAUCAUUUCCCUGUCUUAUAGAUGCAGAAGUUGAGGAGCAGGGACGUUAAAUAAUGUAAAUAACUUCCUCAAGCUCACACAAGUUAUAGAACUUGGAACCAAUAUUUCUAUCCAUGUGUGUCUGAGGUCAAAGUAUUCCUCACAGCCGGGCAAGGUGGCUCAUACCUGUAAUCCCAGCACUUUGGGAGGCUGAGGCGGACAAAUCACGAGGUCAGGAGUUUGAGACCAG
rnacentral:tRNA from 1 species